UCUCGUUAGGGCGAGGAUAAAAAGACAUUAAGCCCUAAGCGUUCUCCUUCGGGAGAGGUUGUA
rnacentral:ribozyme from 1 species